rnacentral:lncRNA from 1 species
CCACCAUACCUUGGUCAUUAGCCAUUUUGUCAGGGUGUUCCACUGCGGGGGAAAAAGAAAUAACAUUAUUAGACUUUGACAGUUCCUAGCAAGAAAGCUGACAUAUCAAACCAACAGUUCUUUUUAGUAAGUUUUUAUUUCAAAGCUAGUGCCCUCUUGAAAUAAAAUUGAUAAGGACCCAAACUUAGGCUUGGGGGAUGCGUCACUGGAUAUUUUGUCCUUCUGAUUACGUAGGAUUAAGCAAUGUUACAAUCUCCAACAUCUGGAAGCCCAUUUCUCUUAAAUUUUGAACAAUGCUGAAAACUUACAUCUAUUUUGCCUGGAAUGAUUUCUAGAAAUUCUUCAUUGUCUACCCAUUCUCUUUGGAUUAAAUAUAAAUAAAUAAAAAUAAACACCAGGACCUCUAGGAUUUAUAUUCUGUUUUAUUUUAUGUACUUCAUUCCCCUUGUUGUCCCAUGAACACUGUGCUCAACUCACUUUGAGCCAAUCAUAAGUAUCUCUUUAACACAUCAUCUUUCUGACACCUGCUUGGGUAUUUUUGCACAUGAGUUUUCCAUUCUUUGGAAGUCCCUGGAAUUAGUAUGUGAUAAUUCAACUAAGCCAUAGCUCAAACCUCAUUUAUUUUGUGAAACUUCCUCUUAUUUUUCCAGACAGAAUCUGUACUUUGUUUGCUCUGAUUUUAACUUGUCCACAAUUUUAUGAUUAUAUUUCUGAUAUUACUUCAGGAAUUUAAAAAAAUGCUUUUUCUUUUUUAUUGGACCACAAUUCGCUCAAAGACAUAGACUAUAUUCUCCUUACCAAGUUCGUAUCUCAAGGCAUGACAAUUAUAAAUUAACAUUAUUAAAAACCCUUAAUUAAUAUCUUGGUCCACUAGACAAGCACUGCCCUCUGAUUUCUUUUUUUUUUUUUUUUUUUUUUUUUUUUUGAGACGGAGUCUCGCUCUGUCGCCCAGGCUGGAGUGCAGUGGCGGGAUCUCGGCUCACUGCAAGCUCCGCCUCCCGGGUUCACGCCAUUCUCCUGCCUCAGCCUCCCAAGUAGCUGGGACUACAGGCGCCCGCCACUACGCCCGGCUAAUUUUUUUGUAUUUUUAGUAGAGACGGGGUUUCACCGUUUUAGCCGGGAUGGCCUCGAUCUCCUGACCUCGUGAUCCGCCCGCCUCGGCCUCCCAAAGUGCUGGGAUUACAGGCGUGAGCCACCGCGCCCGGCCCCCUCUGAUUUCUUUGGCUCUCAUUUUUUCCUAUACUUCCAUUUCUUUAUUAAGUACAUGAAUGGAAGGUAACAUUUAAGUUUCAGAAGAUUUCAGCCAUAGGAAUUGUAUUGGGCAUUUGUUACUUGCACUGUCCAGCAUCCCAUCCUCUCCUCUUCCUUUUAAAGGAGGACUUGUUUUUUCUCUUUGGAAAACAAGCUCUCCUCUAUAUCAUGAAAGCUUGGUAGCAAUAUCAGUUGGGAAUUCCAUGGUCUUAUCCCAUCUUCUCCUUAGCUGUGUGAUCACCUGUCUCAAAAGAUGCCAAUAAUAUUCUCUCUUUUGUGACACUGAAUCUACAUACAAGGAAAUAAAAAAGGUGGAGUCAAAUAAUUACUAUGGUAGCACCUUGAAGGGAUAAACCAACAGUUCCUCACUUCUACAGCCUAGGAAUAAUAAGGCUGAUGCCUGUCUCUUUCCAAGGCCUAAUUAUUUAAAGUGUCCUUCCUGUCACGUUUAUUUUACUUCAGUUAACCAAAACCAAAUGAAGGAUUCAUUAUCUGGACAGAAUGAAAUGCUUGAUUUCAAAAAAUUUCCAGUCACUCGUAUCUUUAUCACAAGCCAUUUCAACACAUAAUGGUGUAGCCCCAUAUGGUCUUUAUCUUACUGCAGAACUAGAAGCAAACUUUAGAGUUAUUUUAUUCACUGAAUUUCCUUCUCACAGUUAUAAACCUGCAGACACUUGUGAAUUACUUCUUACUUCUCAUCAUCACUCAGGGAUCCUAUCCAUGUGCUAUUUACACCUUUGUCCAGAUUAUUACCUUUUCUACUAACCACAUUUCUAAAAGUUAGUAUCUUUUUGUUAGCAAUGGGUCUCACCACUGGUGUCCCUACAAGGCUAGGCGGUUGAUGAGAAAUCAAUAGGGUGCAUAUAUCAAGUCAGAUGUUGGUGUGCAUUUUAUGUUUAUGAGAGGAAAAAAAUGAAUGAAUUUGCUUGUAUUAAGAUGAAAAUACUACUACUUCUCUUUCACACAGGGAAGGCCAAAUUUCUUACUAUUUCACAUUUAUCUACAUUCAUCUCCUUUCAAGUAAAAAGGAAGAGUAGACUGUUUACUUGUUUACUCUAUCCAAUAGUAUGUAUCUCAUCCGGCUGGUCUUAUUAACCCUAAGAAGCUGUGAACAUUGUGCAUUCAGGGUGGAAUUCUGAGAAGAAGAGAUAAUAACAGGUAAAAUAGAAAAAUAGGAUGUUAAAAUUAAAUUAGGUCAACUAGAAAUCUUCUUGUUGAAAGAAGUAUCCACAGAUAUGUAAAAAUAUUCUCACUAGAACUCUAAUAGUUAAAAUAAUAGUUGGAGUUAAAAAUUAGAACUGCAAUCCCAUGGGACAAAUUCUAAUGGAAAGAUAAAUUCAACUUACCCAGGAAACAGCUUUAUUAGCAUUUUUUUAAAAUUUGAAAAUUGGUGCAGUUUACCCACAAAUAUGAUAUAUUAUGAAACCCAUCAAAAAAACAUGUUAAGCCCUGGAUUCUUCAGAAGUUGGAUUUCUGUGAACUAUAAAUGUCAAGUACACUGCAUCCUUGUUAAAGUUAUAAACUCUACAUUUACGAUCCAUAGUAAAUGUGACCAGUAAAAAUUACAGUGAAUUGCAUUACCCUAGAUUUGAACUAUUUAAAAUUGCAUAAAGGUCUUCUAUUAUGUUACCCCAUUUCCCAGGAGUGAACAAAACCACCUGGAAACUCCUUCCCAUAUCCAGCCAAGGUUAUUCACAGUAAAUAUCCAUGAGACUUCGGUUGUAAUGCAAUGCUUUCUUUUGCAUCUAUUUUUCUUUUUUUCAAAAUGAGAAAUACCUACCAUGACAAUUGUUCAAAGACACAACUGUUUUGGACC